GGCAUUGCAGCUCAGUGGUUUGAAUGCUGGACUACGACUCUGGAGACCAGGGUUCAAAUCUUGGAUCAGCCA